UGCCUUGUAAUUGGAAUGAUGGUGACCAGAGUAACAAUUGGAGGGCAAGUCUGGUGCCAGCAGCCGCGGUAAUUCCAGCUCCAAUAGCGUAUAUUAAACUUGUUGCAGUUAAAAAGCUCGUAGUUGAAUUUUUGCGUCACCGUGUAUCGACAUUUGUCGUUUAUCGGUUUCGCUUUUGGGAUUUAUCCCUUUUUACUUUGAGAAAAUUAGAGUGUUUCAAGCAGACUUUUGUCUUGAAUACUUCAGCAUGGAAUAAUAGAGUAGGACUUUGGUUCUAUUUUGUUGGUUUGUGAACCUUAGUAAUGGUUAAUAGGAACGGUUGGGGGCAUUCGUAUUUAACUGUCAGAGGUGAAAUUCUUAGAUUUGUUAAAGACGAACUACUGCGAAAGCAUUUGCCAAGGACGUUUUCAUUAAUCAAGAACGAAAGUUAGGGGAUCGAAGACGAUCAGAUACCGUCGUAGUCCUAACCAUAAACUAUGCCGACUAGGGAUUGGAGGUCGUCAUUUUUCCGACUCCUUCAGCACCUU
rnacentral:rRNA from 1 species